AAAACCGACAACUCUCUUGGCUUGGGUGAUGAGUCCAUCCUACUAGGAACACCCCUUUUGGUGCUGCUGGCUCAGAACAACAACAACAUCCAGCCCCACAGGCAGCGGGUCCUCGAAGCAGCCGAACAGGGGGCUCUGUCCGAGGCGGGGGAGGCUUCCAGCCGGCUCCGCUCCCUCCUGCCGGGCUCACAUUCCCCCCGGAGCCCCCCCGGAAAAACCAGCUCCGAGCUGGUGCCCCCGCCGCCUCCAAAAGUGGUAUUUGCAGCGGUUCUCCCCCGUUCUCCGCCGGGAAGCGACAGGCGGGCAGGGGGCUCCCGGCAGCUCCUGCACCCCCCGCACCGGGCCGGGAGGGAGCCGGGCACAGCAGAGACCCGCCGCCGCCGCGAUGGGCUCCGUCCUUACCUGGCCAGGGUGGUCUUCCCGGAGCCAGGCAGCCCCCGCAGCAGCACCAACCUCCCGCUGAAGCGUGGCGGCGGGGGCUGCAGGCGAAGCCCCCCCAGGGCCCGGAGCAGCUGCUCGUCCAUCCCCCGGCCCUACCCGGGAGGCGGCACCGGCCCGGCCCGGCCCGGCCCGCAGCGGCGGGGGAGGAGGCGGGGGCCCCGGGGCGGCCGCUCCGGAGCCCGGCCCCCGGCCCGGGGAGGCGGCGGGACGCGGGGGUCCCUCCCCCGGACCCCCCCUCGGUGCGGCCGGGCCCGGGAGCGGGUGGAAACCGGCGUCCCGGAGGGAAGGGGGGGGUUUGGGAUCGUCGGUCUCCGAGACUCUGCCCCCAUGAAAACGAAAGCGGCCUUAGGGGGAAAUAAGGAGGAGAAAAAGGACAUUCGCGGCUCGUACGGCAAAACCGCCCGGCUACGGGACCAGCUUCCCACCCUCAACCUCAGCCCCGGGUCCCAUCUUUAGUUAUCUAAAAGCAAGAUUAAUCUCCAAAGUCUCAAAGGCGGGAGAACACAGGCCGGUGCGGAGAAUGUCCCGUCCCGGGUGGGCUCUGAGCUGCGGGGCACCCCAAAAAGGGAAUCAUCAAAGCACCUGGGAGGAGUGAAGCUAGUUACAGCACCCCAGGUACAGGCUCAUCUUUCUUCGUUUUUUUCUUAUUUUU
rnacentral:lncRNA from 1 species